UACGAACCGUCCAAACGUUAUUCGGAUUUAUUGGGCUUAAAGGGUAUGUAGGCGGCCCUUCAAGUCGGGUGUGAAAGCCCUCGGCUCAACCGAGGAACUGCGCCCGAUACUGUAGGGCUUGAGGGAGACAGAGGUAAGCGGAACUGAUGGUGGAGCGGUGAAAUGCGUUGAUAUCAUCAGGAACACCAGUGGCGAAAGCGGCUUACUGGGUCUCUUCUGACGCUGAGAUACGAAAGCUAGGGGAGCGAACGGG
rnacentral:rRNA from 1 species